rnacentral:rRNA from 1 species
GUAAACUUCUUUAGAAUAGGAAGAAACUUAUCUACGUGUAGAUAACUGACGGUACUAUUAGAAUAAGGAUCGGCUAACUCCGUGCCAGCAGCCGCGGUAAUACGGAGGAUCCAAGCGUUAUCCGGAUUCAUUGGGUUUAAAGGGUCCGUAGGCGGGUCUUUAAGUCAGUGGUGAAAGCCGACAGCUCAACUGUCGAACUGCCAUUGAUACUGGAGACCUUGAGUACAAAUGAAGUAGGCGGAAUGAGUCAUGUAGCGGUGAAAUGCAUAGAUAUGACUCAGAACACCGAUUGCGAAGGCAGCUUACUAACAUGUAACUGACGCUGAGGGACGAAAGCGUGGGGAGCGAACAGGAUUAGAUACCCUGGUAGUCCACGCCGUAAACGAUCAUCACUCGCUGUUGGCGAUAUACUGUCAGCGGCCAAGCGAAAGUAUUAAGUGAUGCACCUGGGGAGUACGCCGGCAACGGUGAAACUCAAAGGAAUUGACGGGGGCCCGCACAAGCGAUGGAGCAUGUGGUUUAAUUCGAUGAUACGCGAGGAACCUUACCAGGGCUUAAAUGUAGUAUGACCGGUCUAGAAAUAGGCCUUCUCUUCGGAGCAGAUUACAAGGUGCUGCAUGGUUGUCGUCAGCUCGUGCCGUGAGGUGUUAGGUUAAGUCCUGCAACGAGCGCAACCCCUAUUCUUAGUUGCCAGCGGUUCGGCCGGGGACUCUAAGAAGACUGCCAGUGCAAACUGUGAGGAAGGUGGGGAUGACGUCAAAUCAUCACGGCCCUUACGUCCUGGGCUACACACGUGCUACAAUGGUAGGUACAGAGAGCAGCCAAUGCGUGAGCAUGAGCGA